rnacentral:rRNA from 1 species
GACGAACGCUGGCGGCGUGCCUAAUACAUGCAAGUUGAGCGCUGAAGGUUGGUACUUGUACCAACUGGAUGAGCAGCGAACGGGUGAGUAACGCGUGGGGAAUCUGCCUUUGAGCGGGGGAUAACAUUUGGAAACGAAUGCUAAUACCGCAUAAAAACUUUAAACACAAGUUUUAAGUUUGAAAGAUGCAAUUGCAUCACUCAAAGAUGAUCCCGCGUUGUAUUAGCUAGUUGGUGAGGUAAAGGCUCACCAAGGCGAUGAUACAUAGCCGACCUGAGAGGGUGAUCGGCCACAUUGGGACUGGGACACGGCCCAAACUCCUACGGGAGGCAGCAGUAGGGAAUCUUCGGCAAUGGACGAAAGUCUGACCGAGCAACGCCGCGUGAGUGAAGAAGGUUUUCGGAUCGUAAAACUCUGUUGGUAGAGAAGAACGUUGGUGAGAGUGGAAAGCUCAUCAAGUGACGGUAACUACCCAGAAAGGGACGGCUAACUACGUG